GGAUCAUUGUCGAAAUCGAACGGAAGAACGACCCGCGAAUCGUCAUUGCGUAGUAGACAGAGCCCGUGAGCACCUAACGCUCACGGGUCUCGCGUCGCGUCGGCGCGGGUGUACUCGAGACCCGCGUCGUACCGGCGGACAAACAACGUCAGCACGGAUCGUGCCAAGGAGCAGCAUGGAGAGAAUCGUCGUCCCACGCCUUUGAUAGUCCUCGACGCGGGACGGGGGACGUACGCAAUCUCUACUCAGAAGUCUAAACGACUCUCGGCAACGGAUAUCUCGGCUCUUGCAUCGAUGAAGAACGUAGCGAAAUGCGAUACUUGGUGUGAAUUGCAGAAUCCCGUGAACCAUCAAUUCUUUGAACGCAAGUUGCGCCCGAAGCCAUUCGGCCGAGGGCACGCCUGCCUGGGCGUCGUGAAUCCCCUUGCCCCUAGGCACCCGCAUGAGCAUUGGCGGGGACAUAUGCUCGGGCGCAGAAUAUGGUCUCCCGUGGGAUCGGCAUGCACGGCAUGUCGAGGUGCGGUUGGCCGAAAAUCGAGCAUGGCGGUGACGGGCACCACGGCGUUCGGUGGAUCGAAUGAGAUUGGCUGCGUCGUGGGCUCGGCAUGCGGCGGGCUCCGGACUUUGAAUAUCCCCGAGUGCGAUCCCAGGUCAGGCGGGGCUACCCGCUGAGUUUAAGCAUAUCAAUAAGCGGAGGAAAAGAAACUAACGAGGAUUCCCUUAGUAGCGGC
rnacentral:rRNA from 1 species